UCUUCAACACUGACAGUUUUUGGCGGUUUUGUAGUGUCUAAUUUCCUACAGGGUCAUUUGUUUCUUUUCUCUUUCCCCUUUUGCUAGUUCCGUAAGCAAUAAGCUUAAGCGUGGCUUAUCUUUAAUUCGGUCACCUUGGAUAAGCUAGCGCAUCGUUUGUGCGUGCCGACACCCACGCAUAUUUGUUGACUUCGGCUGCACUUGCCGUUGUCGCAUGAUCGGCUUUGAUAUAUGCCUAGGCCUAGUCUGAGUACAGCUUUCUCUAAGAACAGCAGCAGACCAAAUAAGUUCAAGUCAAGUGCGUGAAAUAAAUUUAUAUAUUUUGCUGAAAAUAGUAUAUACUGAAGUUAAUGACAAAACACAAUAAUACACAAAAAUGUAUAGAUAACUUAAAAAUAAAACUGUUUAUUAUAAUUGAAUUCAUUCUUAAUAACAAGGUUAAUUUAAUUCAUUAUUAUGGUGUGUUCUAUACAAAUACAUAUUUUUAUUAAAUUUUUUUAUUUGGAAUACAUCUAACAUAUUGUUUGCCCGGGAAUUGUGUCUAGCGCGUAUGCGUCUGCUGCGCUUGGAAAUUUUGUUUUUUGUUUUGUUUUUUCCUUCGCUCAGCAUAAUUUCACUAAUUUGGCCAAAUAUCCAGUGAGUAAGGGCGGAAUAGAUGCGAACGUUGUCGAUCCAAGCAUUCAGCAGAGUUGCAUAACAGAAUUCAAGCCCAUCAAGUCGCAAGCCAAAUUAUAAAAUACUUUAAAUAUACAAUGCCUAGUCAUUUUGGCAUACAAAGUUAGUUCUACUCCACAAAACACAAGCAAUUUUGUUCGGUUUUAUCUAUUUUUAGACAGUACAAAAAACAAUACACAUAAAUAACAAACUACUAAUUUGAUUACAAAAUGUUAUUUUUUUAUGAAUUUUACAUACAUUGGCUAUCUAAUUCCAUAUAUUAAAGUGUUUAAGUUUGUAAAAUUCCAAACCCCAUCGCAGAAGUUAGAUGAAUCACCUUAUUUUGACAAUCGAUUAAAAUGACAGAGCUGAAUUUUUUAGCAAAAAUAUUUAUUGAUUCUUAUUAUAUAAAUAAUCUAUUUUUAAUAUAUUAAUUUAAAUUUAAGAUUUAAGACGACAAAUGUUUCGACUUUAUGCCACUUUUUUUUUAAAUUUUGCCCAAUGUGCAGCGUAGUGAACUAGAAGGGGUGUAUAAUGUGAAUAUUUUAUUGGCGCAACGCCAGGCAGAUGAACACCUUCAGUAUACAUACGUACAUACAUAGACUUACCUGAAAAUUCGGAUGACGGCUCAAUGUAAUUUAAAUCAAGUAAUUUAAAGAAAAUUUCCGAAAAAUUUUAUGUCUAUAUAAAUAUAGUAUGGAACUUUUACAACUGUAAAUAUACUUGCAUAAGGUGUCGGUGGUGCAGUACUGUUUAAGGAUGGUCAUGUAUUCGAACUUGGAGAUUCCAAUGUGGUUGCUUCCAAAUUCAACGCCAGACUAAAACUACAAAGUAUAUAUAACAACAGAGUCAAUUAAAGUAAAUGCCGAGAGCGAGAGCGCGAGAGAGAGAGCUGGCCGUCGGUUUUCGCUCAGCAUCGUGGUGCUGGUUCCCACAGAGGUGAUGCUACUUGUGAUGCCGUUCUGAAGACCGCGUCAGAAGUGACAAGGGCUGUGACUGCUAUCCUCUAAGCCGCAGCUGAAAGAGGAGAAACAACUUAUAGAUGUAGUCUGUUAAAUCAGAAGCAGCAGCUAAAGAAUUUAUCUUUAUUCGAGGUGUUAUCCAAACAGCAGAGAGUGAUUAUCGCUUUAUUUUUGUUCGCUUGCAUUCAGCAUGUCACACAAUAUCUUAUUGAAAUCCCUAAAUAAAAUCAAUUGCAUUCGCAUACUUAACAUAAUAUUAA